UACGGAGGGUGCGAGCGUUAAUCGGAAUUACUGGGCGUAAAGGGCGUGUAGGCGGUUUAUCAAGUCAGAUGUGAAAGACCUGGGCUUAACCUGGGCAUUGCAUUUGAAACUAAUAGGCUAGAGUACAGUAGAGGUAAGUGGAAUUUCCGGUGUAGCGGUGAAAUGCGUAGAGAUCGGAAGGAAUAUCGGUGGCGAAGGCGGCUUACUGGACUGAUACUGACGCUGAGGCGCGAAGGCAUGGGUAGCGAACAGG
rnacentral:misc_RNA from 1 species